ensembl:snRNA U6 U6 spliceosomal RNA
GGGCUCACUUCGGCAGCACAUAUACUGAAACUGGAACAAUACAAAGGAGAUUAGCAUGGCCCUGUGCAAGGAUGGCACACAGAUUCACGAAAUAGUCCAUAUUUUU